ACUUCUUGAAGAAUGCCCCUAUCCUGUGCACAGUUCAAAACCAAGUUAAUGUACUGGCAAGCAGACUUCAAAGAUGUAGAAAUGCAGACUUAACCAGGCUGGAAAUUUCUUAUCUAGACCUGAUCUAUCCUGGAACAAGAAACAAAAUGUAUGGUAAGAUCCACUUAUUUUGCAUGUCUUAGGUCUAUGAGGGAUUAGGUCUAGUGGAGAAAAAUCUGGCUAGGAAAUCAUAUUUGUUUAUGAUGUGUGAGGUUUCUCCUCUUCCAAGCAGAAGAUCAAUAUCACAUUUGUGGACAUGUCAAAGAAAGAAGAAGUAUGACAAGAGUGAAGAAUUGCAAUAGGAACUGAACUGAUAUAUAGCUUUGGUCUACUAUGUAUCCAAGAACUCCAAGAAACUACAUUGGAGACAAUGAAAAAUUCAUUCUUAAUUUUUAGUUUAUCAACAUCUAAAUUACAAGGUCUUUGAAUUUAAUUCAUGUUAGUCCAAUAAUGCUUAGCGAAUUCUACCAAUGUAACUCAAAUCUUCUACCUCUAAAUUCACUCUGACCUUCCUGUUUCCAUCUAUAACUAUAUUCCCCAUAAACAAAAAGAUCAGUAUAGUGUAAACAUAUAGAAGUAUGAACCAGUUGCAUCACAUA
rnacentral:misc_RNA from 1 species